GACGAACCGUACAAACGUUAUUCGGAAUCACUGGGCUUAAAGGGCGCGUAGGCGGCCCGCACAAGUCUGCGGUGAAAACCCCCGGCUUAACCGGGGGCCGGCCGUGGAAACUGUCGGGCUGGAGGCUGGGAGAGGGCAGCGGAAUUCCCGGUGUAGCGGUGAAAUGCGUAGAGAUCAGGAGGAACACCGGUGGCGAAGGCGGGUCUCUGGGCCGUAACUGACGCUGAGGAGCGAAAGCGUGGGGAGCGAACAGG
rnacentral:rRNA from 1 species